CAGUCGCCACGGUAAUACGUAGGGCGCAAGCGUUAUCCGGAAUUAUUGGACGUAAAGAGCUCGUAGGCGGCUUGUCGCGUCUGCCGUGAAAGUCCGGGGCUCAACCCCGGAUCUGCGGUGGGUACGGGCAGACUAGAGUGAUGUAGGGGAGACUGGAAUUCCUGGUGUAGCGGUGAAAUGCGCAGAUAUCAGGAGGAACACCGAUGGCGAAGGCAGGUCUCUGGGCAUUAACUGACGCUGAGGAGCGAAAGCAUGGGGAGCGAACAGGAUUAGAUACCCCCGUAGUCCCUGUCUCUUAUAU
rnacentral:rRNA from 1 species